CACGAUAUCACACUCAAUGGGCACCAGUCUGCGAUCAGUUCAUAUUGCAGCAUGGACUUCAAGCAGCUUUGAGGCACAGUUCUAGGUACUCAAACUGAUAUUUAAAUGAUAUCUGACGAAAAAAACACACUACUGUUAUUACGAUUUGUCAAACUGUUUAAGAAAGUGCCAGUCAAAAGAAGAAAGGCCAGAUGGAACAAGUUUGCCUCAAACCUUGCUUUGGGUGUUUCAAUCACACAGAGGCCACUGCCUUAUUCUUGAUGAAGUCAGUGACAAGGUGUCGCUGUGGAGACUCACAGACCCACAGCUUUCUAUUUUAAGUCUGAGCUCUUUGUUAAUGAAACCAUUUUCCAAACACAAAUACAGCAUGAUUAUUAUUAUUUAUAGGAAUUAUUAUUGUUAUAAUUAUCGGAAUUGUUAAUAGGAAUUUCAUUGUUCUAUUUUCAGUACAUAUGAUUAUUAAACAUUUUUGAGCCUCUUCACAACUGAGCACAGGAAGAUUUGCACUUUGUCCAAGUUAGAGUUAAAUAUGUUCUAUAGGUGUUACUGUUUAUAUAUAUUACAAUUCAAUGUCAAACAGAAAUCAGUGACAAAAAAUGGAACAAACUUGAGUCAUUUAUCAUUGGUCCAACUAAAAACACUGAGGGCCCAUUACAGCUAAAACAAAGCAGGCAUACUGGAGCAACCCAAGCUCGCUUUUACUAAAAGCAAAACACUAACGUUAAAACUCCAUUGUAAAUAUUCAUAAACUUCAAAUUUAAAGCAACAUAUAUAGUGGUUAGGCUCUCAGAAUUUUCCUGAUGUUUCAUUGUUGGUUUCUGAAAUGUUAAAAAAUCAAAUGUUUGUGUGCUCAAUAUUGAAGAGAUAUGUAUUUGCCCUGAAAAAGUAAAUCGCACCUGAAUCCUUCUGUCACAAAGGUUGAGCACAAACAUCAUGAACGAGCGGUACAUCACACACAAUACGAUAGGAUAUGAUAAAACUUAAUUCAUCCGCGGAGGGAAAUUGGUCUCACAUUGUGCUCAUUGACACUCACGCAAUCAAUUUUACAGCUGGUGAACUUGGCCAAUGAGAGUGGAGUUCUGAAAAAAUAAAUUCCCUCUGAAUCCACUUCAGUCACAAAGGCUGAGCACAAAAGACAUGAAUGAGUGGUACAUCACAUAGGCCCAACCUCAUAUUGUGCCCAUUGAUACUCAUACAUUCAAUUUUACAGCAGGUGAACUGGCUAGACAUUGGCAGUGGAGCUCUGCCUGAAUUCCACAUCCACUUCCCCGUCCCGACCCUUGCUGACACACCCAUGUCCAGGAUCUUGCUUUGAAGUUUCUCAUAUUUCUUUACAACAUAGGUGGUGUUCGGUCCCGAGAAUUUGUGCAGGCUCCAACAGCAAUUCCUAAAGUCUCAUGGUCUCUUUAAUUUUCAUGCAAACAUUUCUCUCGUUCCAUUAACAGCCUCCUUUUAAUUCUCCUACACUUGGACAGGUGCAUGGAUAGGAAAGGAUUAGAGGGAUAAAUGCUGGCAAAUGGGACCAGCUUAGAUGAGCUAUUUUAGUCGGCAUGCUUCGGUUAUUUGUGCUGAAGUACUGUUUCUAUGCAAUGUGGCUCUAAAAUUGGGAUUAAAAGAUAAAUAAAUUAGACAAAUUAAAGAUAUAAAGAAAACACAUCAUAUGAAUAUUGAUUUCUCGAACUUCAAGUAACCACUGCAAUUCCUCUCUCUCCAUCCCUUCCCCACCUAAAUCACACCAGCUUCUCAAUCUCACCUAGCAAACAACUAACGAUGGCCUGUUUCAUUUAACACUGUUACUUUUUUCCAUAUCUUUCAUUCAUUUGUUCUU